rnacentral:rRNA from 1 species
AUUGAACGCUGGCGGCGUGCCUAACACAUGCAAGUCGAGCGGUAACGCGGGAGCAAUCCAGGCGACGAGCGGCGAACGGGUGAGUAAUGCUUCGGAAUCUGCCCUUUGGUGGGGAAUAACUAGCCGAAAGGUUAGCUAAUACCGCAUACGACCUACGGGUGAAAGCAGGGGAUCGCAAGACCUUGCGCCGAUGGAUGAGCCGAAGUCGGAUUAGCUAGUUGGUAGGGUAACGGCCUACCAAGGCGACAAUCCGUAGCUGGUCUGAGAGGACGACCAGCCACACUGGGACUGAGACACGGCCCAGACUCCUACGGGAGGCAGCAGUGGGGAAUAUUGGACAAUGGGGGCAACCCUGAUCCAGCGACGCCGCGUGUGUGAAGAAGGCCUGCGGGUUGUAAAGCACUUUUAGUGGGGAUGAAAAGCUCAGGGCUAAUACCUCUGGGUCUUGACCUAACCCACAGAAAAAGCACCGGCUAACUCUGUGCCAGCAGCCGCGGUAAUACAGAGGGUGCAAGCGUUAAUCGGAAUUACUGGGCGUAAAGCGUGCGUAGACGGUUAUUUAAGUCGGGUGUGAAAGCCCCGGGCUCAACCUGGGAAUUGCAUUCGAGACUGAAUAGCUAGGGUGCGGAAGAGGGAAGCGGAAUUUCCGGUGUAGCGGUGAAAUGCGUAGAUAUCGGAAGGAACACCAGUGGCGAAACGCGGCUUCCUGGUCCAGCACCGACGUUCAGGCACGAAAAGCGUGGGGGAGCAAACAGGAUUAGAUACCCUGGUAG